GUGCCCAAUUCAGCAGCACAACUACUAAAAUUGGAAAGAUACAGAGAUUAUCCUGGCCCCUGUGCAAGGAUGACAUGCAAUUUUAUGAAGCAUUUCAUAAUUUU